ensembl:lncRNA
CAACAUGUGUGUUUUUCAAAACUGUUACGGGGUGUAGACGGAGACAAGCGCGGGGAAGCGGAGAGAUGACGUGAGACUGAACACGAAAGGAGAAUCGAGUCGGGAUAGAGCAGAUCCUCACCGGCUUGUAACCAGCUUCUCUCGCCUUCAGCAGAGCGUCCAUUUCAUCCACCCACAAACACAAACAUGUGGGAUGAGGGAUUGAUGUGUCUGGUUCUGCUUCCUCAUGCUAAAGCUAAUUCAUCAUUUCAUUGUCAAAAAUGUUUAAGAAUCAGAUAUGAAACACUUGGUAUAAUGCAUGAAUAUCCACUUCACAACAAAUUCUUAAAAACAAUGUUAAUAAUAAUAAUAAUAGUGUGUGUGUGUGUGUGUGUGUGUGUGUGUGUGUGUGUGUGUGUGUGUGUGUGAAAAAAGUGUAUUAAAAUACUGAGCUGCAGAGCAGGAGUGUAUAUGAUCCAUAUGUAUGUGUGUUUUUAUGUGUGUAUAUGUGUGCACUCAUGCGCCAUCUGGAUCUGGUCAUCUACCGGAGCGGACUACAACAUGUAAAUGAUACCAUAGAUGUAGAAGGUAGACAUGUAACAUCUGCAUCUAGAGCUUGAGCUGAAAGCUCAUCUGCAACUGUAACUAGAACUGGGACACUAUCUACAGCUGGAACAGUGUCGACAUCUGGGACACCUUCUACUGAUGGAACUGUAUGUUCAGCUGGGACACUGUCUACUACUAAAUACUUUUCUACAGCCAACACGGAGUCUGCCACUAGAACAGUAUCUACAGAUGUUGCUGUAGUUACACUUGUACACUCUACAGUCACACACGGCACCUGACUGCUUGAUGGUGUGAUGGUGCCAGUGGUCUGCUGACGCAGUGCAGGUUCAACCAGAUCGGGCAUACUCUGGACAUCUGCUUAAAGAAAAAAGCACCAAACAAAGACAUAGUUACAGGCUUUGUCCUAAACCAUAUCCUGCUAUGCAAGUACAUUUGUGGUGAAAACUAAUCAAAAAAACUGUUAUCUACUGUAACUGGCUCAAAUGUUCAACUGUUACAUAAAAGCCAU